UUUUUUUUUUUUUUUGGCUGCACCCAUGGCAUGCAGAAGUUCCUGGGUCAAGGGUCCAACCCAUGCCAUAACAGCAACCCCAGACACUGUAGUGACAAUGCCAGAUCCUUAACCUGUUGCACCACAAGGGAACUUAAUGGCUCUUCCUAAUUUCCCAAUUUGUAAGUGCUGUCGGUUUCAGGACCCCAUGUGAAAUACACAAAGGAUGUGCCAGCAAUGGGCCUGGGAAACAGACCCUCCAAAUGGAAUUCAGAGGCCAGGUUGCUCAUAUGUCUGGGGAGUGAGCUGCAGGACACUGGUAACUCAUCACCUGGGUGCCCCUGGUGAUGGUGCAGGAGGAGAAAACAAGGUAAUGGGAGAGCAGCAGUUCACCACGGCAACGAGAGGGAGUAGAAAGACUGUGGGUCUUGGUGUACACCUAGAGAAGAGGACAAACUGAAGGCAAUUCCAAGUCAAGUGGAAACCACAAUGCCCUGAUGGAUUCCCUCUGUGGUUGCAGGAGAGAAAAGGCUGAAGCCAGUCCAGGCCUAACUGUAAAGGCUGACAAGCUGCACUGCCAAUUAUAUGCACAGCCCUGUCUGGUCUCUCAUGCUGAAGAAUCUGAUGGAGAGGAGGGGACCCUGCGAUGCAGGAGGCGUAUAUACAGGAGGUUGAGAACCUUCCCUUUGUCCCAGCCCCUAGCCAGCCUCCCUUGCAUAAACAUCUUUUAAGAACACUCCUGGGGUGGCGCCUCUCUGGCUGAUGGCCAUCUCCCCCUUGGUGCCUUUCGGGCCCACAGGAAGAGUUGGAUUCUGACAUGUCUCAGACAAGUACCAGGCCUGCCAUGGAGAGCAGAGUUCAAUAUUGAAAGUGCAAGUGAGGCAGGGCCUCAAGUAUCUGUGCUGGCAGGAGUCUGGGAAGAAUCAUGAUAGUGGACUCCCAUGGUAUUGGGAGAAGGCCUGUGGGAGCUAAACUUCUCAACAUGAAGUUCAGGGUUUAAUGUAUUGGCUGGGGAUGACAUUCAACUCUGCGAGGCACCUUACUUGAAGGCUGCACUAAGAUGGCUGAGAGUCUGCACUCCCAGAGGUAGGCUGGAAUAGAUUGGAUAUAUGGGCUCCCUGUAGCCUAUACAGCUCUUAGGGCAAGAAUGGGGUGGAUGGGAGUUCCCGUUGUGGCGCAUCAGAAAUGAAUCUGACUAGUUUCCAUGAGGAUGCGGGUUUGAUCCUUGGCCUCACUCAUUGGGUUAAGGAUCCAACAUUGCCCUGAGCUAGCAGCCACAGCUCCAAUUUGACCUCUAGACUGGGACCCUCCAUAUGCCGUGGUUGCGACCCUAAAAAAGCAAAAAAAAAAAAAAAAAAAAAAAAAGGAACAGAAUGGAGAGUGAAUAUGGAGGGGCACACAGAAAAUAUCCAUUAUCCUCAGAUUUAUCAUGAACACCACCAGUGCCCUGCAAGAAUGCUGAUGCUGAUGGUAGCCCAAACAUCCUUUGGUUUGCGGCUGAACCACUGGGUCUCUGCCUCAGGAUCACACAGCUUUCUUUUCUCUGUGUCUGUGUCUCUUCCCCUCUUCUUAUAAGGGUGUCAUUUAUUAUGAGCUGAACUGUCCUUUCCUCAACCCCCCAAUUUAUACGCUGAAGCCUUAACCUUUAGUACCUCAGAAUGUGACUGCAUUUGGAGACAGGGUUUUUAAAAUAGGUGAUUAUGUUAAAAUGAGAGGUUUAUGGUAGGCCUUGAUCCAGUUUGAUAGAUAUCCUUAUAAGAGGAAAUUAGGACACACAGCAACAAGAGGGAUGAGUGUCCACAGAAAAAAGACCGAGUAAAGAGGCAACAAGAGGGCAGCCAUCUGAAAGGCAAGGUCUCAGAAGAGCAAGCCUGCUGACAGCAUCUUCAACUCCCAGCCCCCCGAACUUCAAGGGGAUACACUUCUGCUCUUUUAAGCCACCCUGUCUUGGGUAUUUUGUUAUGGCUGCCCUAGUAGACUAAUACUGUAAUCACAGGGUGUUAGGGCCUAUGCCAUCCUAAACAUGACCUUGUGUGACCUCAUCUUAACUCGAUCACAUCUGCCAAGACCCUGUUUCUAAAUAAGGUCACAUUCACAGGGUCGGGUGAGUGGUUAGGACUUCAGCAGACUUCAGGGGUACAAAUUCAACUCUUAGCAGCCACCUUGAGUCUGGUCAUCAGCAAACCAGUUUAGCAGAUAUUAACACCAUCCCAGGGGCUCCAGCUCAGCCAGGGAGAGGCACAGGUCGGUGAGAGGAGAGUGGAGUCAGAGCAUGUAUUCUGGCUCCUUCCUGUUGGGUCACAGUGAGUUGGCUGUCAGGUGGCUUCCUCCACACAGGUCUUUUCUACAGACUCUGGUUGUCUUCGCAGAACUUUGGUUUGCUAGAUGGGAAGAGGGCAGAGGAGGAGAGACCAUCCAUGCCUCCCCGGUGUUACUAGUUUUGCUGAUCCCGUGUUGGUUUUGGAAGCAUAUUAGGUAGAAAGACAGAAAAUCAUUUUCUGACAUGAGAUAUCAUCUUUGACAUAAGCCAUUCUAUGAUCUAAGCCUGGCCACAGUGCUCAUCCUUGAACGGGUUUUGAACCCAGUUUUCAAAUAAUUUUCCCUAAACUCCUUCCACACAUUUGCAAAUAGCUCUUGUAUUUCCCACUCCUCAGUUGCCCAAUCUUUUUUUUGUGUCUUUUUAGGGCCACACCCUUGGCGUAUGGAGGUUCCCAGGCUAGGGAUAGAGUGGGAGCUGUAGCCACUGGCCUAUGACACAGCCACUGCAACUCGGGAUCCAAGCCGUGUCUGCGACCUACACCACAGUUCAUGGAAACACCAGAUUCUUAACCCACUGAGAGAAGCCAGGGAUCGAACUCGCAUCUUCAUGGAUGUGAGUCAGAUUCAUUUUCGCUGAGCCAUGGCAGGAGCUCCUCAGUUUCCCAAUCUUGAGCAUAUCAUGUUUCUUGCUGGAGCUCGGGCUGAUGCAAGCCACUGUCCAGGCUCCUUUUGCAAUUGGGAUGUCAUGUACUUGUUAAAGCAUAAGUCUUCCUGUGUUGCUAGGCAAUUCUCUUGAUCAUAAAUCUUGGGGCUGGUCCUCAAGUAUCAGGUCGGGGCAGCUUUGAUCCAGACUGGAGAGAUUUCAGAGACCGGAAGAUGGGUGUCAUGAGACCCAAUAUGACUUACACCACUGCUGCAAAAGGUUGGUUUCCUUCGUCACUGUAUCUCCAUCCUUGCAUGGUGGCUGGCUGCAUCCUCCAUUGAGAGGUGGGUGAAGUCUUCCUCCAUCCUUCACAAUAGGACUGGCCUUAGAAUUGCUUUGGCCAAUGAGAUGGUGGCAAAAUGUGAAGCAAACAGAGACCUGACAUGCUUUGGCACUGCUCUUGGAGCUGAAUUGCCAUGUGGAUGAGCCUGGGCUAGCCUGCUGGAGAUCAGGAAACACAUGUUGCCCCUGUGUUGAUAACUAGCAAACUAUCAGACUUGAGUGACGCCAUUUGGGCCAAGCUAGCUUCUAGCUGACCCACCAACUGACCACAGAUGCAGCCGAGAUGAACUGUGCCAAGCCCAGUGGAACUGUGGGGUAUGUUGCUGUCUUGAGUCAUCAAGCUCAGGGUGGUUUGGGACAUGGAAGAAGUUAAUGGCUACAUCUUCCAAGUCAGAGAUUGCCGUCGUGUCUCUUGCACUGUUUGAUUAUGAGUCCUAUUUUUAUUUGUUUAUUUAGUUUUUUAGGGCUACACCUGCAGCAUAUGGAGGUUCGCAGGUGAGGGGUCAAAUUGAGCUACAGCUGCCAGCCUAUGCCACAGCAACAGCAACACCAGAUCUCAGCUGCAUCUGUGACCUACGCCACAGCUUAUGGCAACACCGGAUCUUUAGCCCACAGAGGGAGGCCAGGGAUCGAACCCGCAACCUCAUGGUUCUUAGUCGGAUUAGUUUCCACUGCACCACAACAGGAACUCCCUAUAAGUCCUAUUUUUAUUAUGGGGUUUAUAGAGUGUUUUGAUCAUAGGGGGGAGAGGCCUGGAUGAACUUGAGAGGAGGUUUGGAAUAAAUGUUUCAAAAUGAAGGGGUCUUACCCUAUCCUGCUGAGGCUGGUCUUACGGCAUUAUAUUACUUCCUCCUGUGAUGCUAAAAAGGCAGUGAGGGGUCAUCGAGGUGCCCUAAGACAUUUGUUAGGGUCUGUGUUUUCAUAUCACCACAUGGACCCUAAGGACUUUCUAAUGAGGGGUCUAUGUUAGGAACAGCUACAAACACCGAACACCAGAGACUCUGCUGGCUCAUGGUGAAGUUAUUUCUUCUCUAAAUUACCUCCCACACUUUCCAACUGCUACACUCCACAAAAGUGGAAUCUGUAGCUAAAGAGCAAAGGUAUUUUAGGCCCCCUAAGUCAGGGCAUUUCUGAUCAUAGCCCUCACCACAGUCAUUUAUUUUUGUAACUGUUAUCCUCAUCUUCCCUCAACAGACUGCAAGGCCCAUGAGGGCAAGGCAUGGGUCUGCACCACUCACAGCAUCUUCAUUGCCAGCCUGACCUUGAGUUUUCAGCUUCCCAUAGCACGGCAUAAUUUUCCAUCUUUCCAAGUUCUUUCAAAACACAACAUUUGAAUUGGGGUGUGACACACUAUCAUUUUAUUCAAGUUAGCUGCACUAUUUUGCCUAAUCACUACAUGGGACAUUUGUGGCUUCUCCAGUGCCACUCACAUCGAGUGGCCUUAGAGUGAUGGUUUACCUUUUGGCCUUUUCUAACUCCUUUUGAAACUUGCUCUAACUCCAGCAUUUUAAGGUCAGAAAGGUAAGAAAAGGCAGCAAGAGACUGAUCAGGAAGGUAGGAGAAAAAUCUGGCAGGUACAGUCACAGCAGUCAAGAGAAGUGUUUUUCAAAGAGUGCUCAGUUUCUGCAACUGAUGAUUCUGAGAAUGAUCCAUCAGACACAUCACCUUAAGAAGAGUUUUGGUAGAAGCAAUGUAACAGCAAAUGGAGGAAGAGAAAUUUUUCAAGAAGACUAGAGUCACUGGGCCGAAUCUGCAAAGGAGAGACGUCUCGGGAGCUAGACCCAGAGAGUGUGGUACUACAAAAGCCAGGAGAAUGGUGGGCUACAAGAAGGUCGAGUGAGAUGAGAUCAGAAACUCCACCAAAGUGCGUAAUGUCAUGAUCCAGAAGAGCAUCCUCAGCAUUGAGCAGGAUGCAUAGAGACAACUCAGAGCCUGUGCUACAGGAAAGGGCAGCAGAUUAAACCAGGGCUUUGAGCAUGUGCUAUGCCCUUGUUCCAACAUGAUGAGGGACUUGGCAUGUUUAAAUACUUCCUCAGGAGGAGCUCCCUCUGUGGUGCAAAGGGAUUGACAGUGUCUCUGGAGCAGCAGGGACACAGGUUUGAUCUCUAGCCUGGCACAGUGGGUUAAGGAUCCAGCAACGCUGCAGCUGUGGCAUAGGUCGCAACUCUUGGCCAGGGAACUUUUUAUGCUACACGGUGGCCAAAAAAGAAAAAAAUAAACAAACAAUAGUUUAUCCUUUUAAAAGGAAUUUGUUGAGGAGUGCAAAGACUGCAUGUGGAGGAGAGGAAGAGAGGCAAGAGUGGUCCCUGAGAAGGAAGGUGUGGUUUUCUCCUCAGGCAGAGGCAGGUGCUUUUGGCUCAAGACAGAACUUUCACCACGAGAAAGAAAAUUGCAACUGAAGGUCUGCAUGUAGCCUGCUCACCAUGCCCUAAUGUUGGGUCACACAUUCAUCACUUAAAACUUCACAGCUCCUAAGUGUUUCCUGCAGUGGCUCCAAGCUGCUGGCAGUCUACACUGGCUUCACGCUGGUAUUCCUGUGGCAGCCCCUCCACUGAGGCAUGAAGCGCUGGUAUUCCUGUGGCAGCCCCUCCGCUGAGGCAUGAAGCAGUGUCCUGCCUGGUCUGACAGGGCUCUGACCAGGUCCCUUCUUCCCCAUGGGCCUCAGGUUCUGGCCCCACUUCCUCAUUCUUUCAAGCCUCUGGCAACCCCGGGUCACCCUUCUGAAAUGCCUAUUGCCCUAGAUUCACAGCAUACAAUUUUCACCCAAGUAUUCACUACUCCACGUGGUAACUGUUUCAUUAGCUAGAUCAAGGUUCCCAUCUCGGUUAUCUAAGGCUCCUGGCUCUUAGGAACGCAAGGACAAAGUGGACUACACUGAUCAGGGUCUUGGACCAGGUGACCCUCUAAGCUUCAGUUUCUGAAAAGCAAGGUUACUUAGAAGUACCUACCACACAAGAUUAUGGUGGUGAUUUUCCCUUCACAUGCUAUUGUACAAAUCAGUCUCCUCGCCGCUUUAUUAUCUCCCCAUCAAUUCUCCACACGGCACCACCUCCUCCACCGCUGCCAUGCAAAAGUAUCAGGUACAAGUGGGUCCACAGAAUUCAGUUUCUUCCUAUGUGCUCAUGACUGUAAUUCCUAAAACUUAUGGGAAAAAAGUGAGGUCUGAGGGAAAAGUUGCAUCUAAUAGUGUAGUGAAACGUGUCCUUCUACUUUUUGUCUUUUUAGGGCCUCAUCCGAGCGGCCCAAGUAAUAGCAAAAAGACCAAAAAAAAAAAAAGCCAAAAAACAACAAAAAAAACCCCUGUAUUGUACCCUCAUGGACCCUAGUUGGGUUCAUUAACCACUGAACCACGUUGGG
rnacentral:lncRNA from 1 species